GUUGAACGCUGGCGGCAGGCUUAACACAUGCAAGUCGAGCGAGCGGCGGACGGGUGAGUAAUGUCUGGGAAACUGCCUGAUGGAGGGGGAUAACGACUGGAAACGGUAGCUAAUACCGCAUACCAUCAGAUGUGCCCAGAUGGGAUUAGCUAGUAGGUGGGGUAAUGGCUCACCUAGGCGACGAUCCCUAGCUGGUCUGAGAGGAGGACCAGCCACACUGGAACGGAGACACGGUCCAGAUUCCUACGGGAGGCAGCAGUGGGGAAUAUUGCACAAUGGGCGAAAGCCUGAUGCAGCCAUGCCGCGUGUGUGAAGAAGGCCUUCGGGUUGUAAAGCACUUUCAUCGAGGAGGCGUUACUCGCAGAAGAAGCACCGGCUAACUACGUGCCAGCAGCCGCGGUAAUUC
rnacentral:rRNA from 1 species